rnacentral:rRNA from 1 species
GGGUUGUGAGGUUAAGCGACUAAGCGUACACGGUGGAUGCCCUGGCAGUCAGAGGCGAUGAAGGACGUGCUAAUCUGCGAAAAGCGUCGGUAAGGUGAUAUGAACCGUUACAGCCGGCGAUGUCCGAAUGGGGAAACCCAGUGUGAUUCGUCACACUAUCGUUAACUGAAUACAUAGGUUAACGAGGCGAACCGGGGGAACUGAAACAUCUAAGUACCCCGAGGAAAAGAAAUCAACCGAGAUUCCCCAGUAGCGGCGAGCGAACGGGGAGCAGCCCAGAGUCUGAAUCAGCUUGUGUGUUAGUGGAACGGUCUGGAAAGUCCGACGGUACAGGGUGAUAGUCCCGUACACCAAAAUGCACAGGCUGUGAACUCGAAGAGUAGGGCGGGACACGUGGUAUCCUGUCUGAAUAUGGGGGGACCAUCCUCCAAGGCUAAAUACUCCUGACUGACCGAUAGUGAACCAGUACCGUGAGGGAAAGGCGAAAAGAACCCCGGCGAGGGGAGUGAAAAAGAACCUGAAACCGUGUACGUACAAGCAGUGGGAGCACCUUCGGGUGUGACUGCGUACCUUUUGUAUAAUGGGUCAGCGACUUAUAUUCUGUAGCAAGGUUAACCGUAUAGGGGAGCCGCAGGGAAACCGAGUCUUAACUGGGCGUUAAGUUGCAGGGUAUAGACCCGAAACCCGGUGAUCUAGCCAUGGGCAGGUUGAAGGUUGGGUAACACUAACUGGAGGACCGAACCGACUAAUGUUGAAAAAUUAGCGGAUGACUUGUGGCUGGGGGUGAAAGGCCAAUCAAACCGGGAGAUAGCUGGUUCUCCCCGAAAGCUAUUUAGGUAGCGCCUCGUGAAUUCAUCUUCGGGGGUAGAGCACUGUUUCGGCUAGGGGGUCAUCCCGACUUACCAACCCGAUGCAAACUACGAAUACCGAAGAAUGUUAUCACGGGAGACACACGGCGGGUGCUAACGUCCGUCGUGAAGAGGGAAACAACCCAGACCGCCAGCUAAGGUCCCAAAGUCACAGUUAAGUGGGAAACGAUGUGGGAAGGCACAGACAGCCAGGAUGUUGGCUUAGAAGCAGCCAUCAUUUAAAGAAAGCGUAAUAGCUCACUGGUCGAGUCGGCCUGCGCGGAAGAUGUAACGGGGCUAAACUGUGCACCGAAGCUGCGGCAGCGACACUAUGUGUUGUUGGGUAGGGGAGCGUUCUGUAAGCCUGCGAAGGUGGCCUGUGAGGGUUGCUGGAGGUAUCAGAAGUGCGAAUGCUGACAUAAGUAACGAUAAUGCGGGUGAAAAGCCCGCACGCCGGAAGACCAAGGGUUCCUGUCCAACGUUAAUCGGGGCAGGGUGAGUCGACCCCUAAGGCGAGGCCGAAAGGCGUAGUCGAUGGGAAACAGGUUAAUAUUCCUGUACUUGGUGUUACUGCGAAGGGGGACGGAGAAGGCUAUGUUAGCCGGGCGACGGUUGUCCCGGUUUAAGCAUGUAGGCGGAGGUUCCAGGUAAAUCCGGUACCUUUUUAACGCUGAGGUGUGAUGACGAGGCACUACGGUGCUGAAGUAACAAAUGCCCUGCUUCCAGGAAAAGCCUCUAAGCAUCAGGUAACAUUAAAUCGUACCCCAAACCGACACAGGUGGUCAGGUAGAGAAUACCAAGGCGCUUGAGAGAACUCGGGUGAAGGAACUAGGCAAAAUGGUGCCGUAACUUCGGGAGAAGGCACGCUGAUAUGUAGGUGAAGCCCCUGCGGGUGGAGCUGAAAUCAGUCGAAGAUACCAGCUGGCUGCAACUGUUUAUUAAAAACACAGCACUGUGCAAACACGAAAGUGGACGUAUACGGUGUGACGCCUGCCCGGUGCCGGAAGGUUAAUUGAUGGGGUUAUCCGUAAGGAGAAGCUCUUGAUCGAAGCCCCGGUAAACGGCGGCCGUAACUAUAACGGUCCUAAGGUAGCGAAAUUCCUUGUCGGGUAAGUUCCGACCUGCACGAAUGGCGUAAUGAUGGCCAGGCUGUCUCCACCCGAGACUCAGUGAAAUUGAACUCGCUGUGAAGAUGCAGUGUACCCGCGGCAAGACGGAAAGACCCCGUGAACCUUUACUAUAGCUUGACACUGAACAUUGAGCCUUGAUGUGUAGGAUAGGUGGGAGGCUUUGAAGCGUGGACGCCAGUCUGCGUGGAGCCAACCUUGAAAUACCACCCUUUAAUGUUUGAUGUUCUAACGUUGGCCCCUUAUCGGGGUUGCGGACAGUGUCUGGUGGGUAGUUUGACUGGGGCGGUCUCCUCCCAAAGAGUAACGGAGGAGCACGAAGGUUAGCUAAUCCUGGUCGGACAUCAGGAGGUUAGUGCAAUGGCAUAAGCUAGCUUGACUGCGAGCGUGACGGCGCGAGCAGGUGCGAAAGCAGGUCAUAGUGAUCCGGUGGUUCUGAAUGGAAGGGCCAUCGCUCAACGGAUAAAAGGUACUCCGGGAUAACAGGCUGAUACCGCCCAAGAGUUCAUAUCGACGGCGGUGUUUGGCACCUCGAUGUCGGCUCAUCACAUCCUGGGGCUGAAGUAGGUCCCAAGGGUAUGGCUGUUCGCCAUUUAAAGUGGUACGCGAGCUGGGUUUAGAACGUCGUGAGACAGUUCGGUCCCUAUCUGCCGUGGGCGCUGGAGAAUUGAGGGGGCUGCUCCUAGUACGAGAGGACCGGAGUGGACGCAUCACUGGUGUUCGGGUUGUCAUGCCAAUGGCAUUGCCCGGUAGCUAAAUGCGGAAGAGAUAAGUGCUGAAAGCAUCUAAGCACGAAACUUGCCCCGAGAUGAGUUCUCCCUGACUCCUUGAGAGUCCUGAAGGAACGUUAAAGACGAUGACGUUGAUAGGUCGGGUGUGUAAGCGUAGCGAUACGUUGAGCUAACCGAUACUAAUGAACCGUGAGGCUUAACCUUACAACGCCGAAG